rnacentral:tRNA from 1 species
GAGUUUUAGAGAAAGCUGCUAACUAUCUCGAAGCAAAAAAAUUUGUUAAACUCCUU